rnacentral:tRNA from 1 species
GCGCAGGUGGCGGAACUGGCAGACGCGCUAGGUUGAGGGCCUAGUUCCUGGCGACGGGAGUGGGGGUUCGAAUCCCCCCCUGCGCACCA